GUUUGUUGUAGGUAUGUUGCUUGAUACCCAGUUAUUUUAAAAAUGUUGGUAGAAUUUGGGAUUAUGUUUUCCAUAAUGGAAUUGAUUACAAUGAUGAUUUGUGAUGUAGAGGAAAUAUUUGCAGUUUACAGUUUUUACUGUCGGGAUUCCAGGAGAAACCAACAUAAGGGUAGGAAGGAUCUUCAAUACCAUCUGACAACCUGGG